AACGAACGCUGGCGGCAGGCUUAACACAUGCAAGUCGAACGCGCCCUUCGGGGCGAGUGGCAGACGGGUGAGUAACGCGUGGGAACCUACCUUUUGGUACGGAAUAACUCAGGGAAACUUGAGCUAAUACCGUAUAAGCCCUGACUUUUAAUCGGGUCUGGGGAAAGAUUCAUCGCCAAAGGAUGGGCCCGCGCCGGAUUAGCUAGUUGGUGGGGUAAUGGCCUACCAAGGCGACGAUCCGUAGCUGGUCUGAGAGGAUGAUCAGCCACACUGGGACUGAGACACGGCCCAGACUCCUACGGGAGGCAGCAGUGGGGAAUAUUGGACAAUGGGGGCAACCCUGGUCCAGCCAUGCCGCGUGAGUGAUGAAGGCCUUAGGGUUGUAAAGCUCUUUCGCCGGUGAAGAUAAUGACGGUAACCGGAGAAGAAGCCCCGGCUAACUUCGUGCCAGCCGCCGCGGUAA
rnacentral:rRNA from 1 species